CGUACGACGAGACGACACCUACCGGUACGGGGCGAGCAGUGGGGAAUAUUGCACAAUGGGCGCAAGCCUGAUGCAGCCAUGCCGCGUGUAUGAAGAAGGCCUUCGGGUUGUAAAGUACUUUCAGCAGUGAGGAAGGUGGGUAUGUUAAUAGCAUACUCAUUUGACGUUAGCUGCAGAAGAAGCACCGGCUAACUCCGUGCCAGCAGCCGCGGUAAUACGGAGGGUGCGAGCGUUAAUCGGAAUUACUGGGCGUAAAGCGCAUGCAGGUGGUUUGUUAAGUCAGAUGUGAAAGCCCGGGGCUCAACCUCGGAAUUGCAUUUGAAACUGGCAAACUAGAGUACUGUAGAGGGGGUAGAAUUUCAGGUGUAGCGGUGAAAUGCGUAGAGAUCUGAAGGAAUACCGGUGGCGAAGGCGGCCCCCUGGACAGAUACUGACACUCAGAUGCGAAAGCGUGGGGAGCAAACAGGAUUAGAUACCCUGGUAG
rnacentral:rRNA from 1 species